UACGGAGGGUGCAAGCGUUGUUCGGAAUCACUGGGCGUAAAGCGCUCGCAGGUGGUUCGUCGCGUCGUGCGUGAAAGACCCCGGCUCAACUGGGGAGGGUCGUGCGAUACGGGCGAACUGGAGGCCAGUAGGGGGAUGCGGAAUUCCGGGUGUAGUGGUGGAAUGCGUAGAGAUCCGGAGGAACACCAGCGGCGAAGGCGGCAUCCUGGACUGGUCCUGACACUCAGGAGCGAAAGCGUGGGGAGCGAUCCGG
rnacentral:rRNA from 1 species